rnacentral:rRNA from 2 species
AGAGUUUGAUCCUGGCUCAGGGCGAACGCUGGCGGCAGGCCUAACACAUGCAAGUCGAGCGGGCACCUUCGGGUGUCAGCGGCAGACGGGUGAGUAACGCGUGGGAACGUGCCCUUUGGUUCGGAACAACUCCGGGAAACUGGAGCUAAUACCGGAUAAGCCCUUCGGGGGAAAGAUUUAUCGCCAAAGGAUCGGCCCGCGUCUGAUUAGCUAGUUGGUAGGGUAAUGGCCUACCAAGGCGACGAUCGGUAGCUGGUCUGAGAGGAUGAUCAGCCACACUGGGACUGAGACACGGCCCAGACUCCUACGGGAGGCAGCAGUGGGGAAUAUUGGACAAUGGGCGCAAGCCUGAUCCAGCCAUGCCGCGUGAGUGAUGAAGGCCUUAGGGUUGUAAAGCUCUUUCACCCAUGACGAUAAUGACGGUAGUGGGAGAAGAAGCCCCGGCUAACUUCGUGCCAGCAGCCGCGGUAAUACGAAGGGGGCUAGCGUUGCUCGGAAUCACUGGGCGUAAAGGGCGCGUAGGCGGCCGAUCAAGUCAGGGGUGAAAGCCUGUGGCUCAACCACAGAAUUGCCUUUGAUACUGUUCGGCUCGAGACCGGAAGAGGUUGGUGGAACUGCGAGUGUAGAGGUGAAAUUCGUAGAUAUUCGCAAGAACACCAGUGGCGAAGGCGGCCAACUGGUCCGGUUCUGACGCUGAGGCGCGAAAGCGUGGGGAGCAAACAGGAUUAGAUACCCCGGUAGUCC